rnacentral:rRNA from 1 species
AGAGUUUGAUCCUGGCUCAGGAUGAACGCUAGCGACAGGCCUAACACAUGCAAGUCGAGGGGCAUCGGGGCGAGGAGCAAUCCUUGCCGCCGGCGACCGGCGCACGGGUGAGUAACGCGUAUGCGACCUGCCCGUUGCAGGGGGAUAAUCGGGAGAAAUCCCGUCUAAUACCGCGUAAUGCCGCGGGGCUGCAUGGCCCUGCGGCCAAAGGAAGCGAUUCCGGCAACGGAUGGGCAUGCGUGACAUUAGCUAGUUGGCGGGGCAACGGCCCACCAAGGCGACGAUGUCUAGGGGUUCUGAGAGGAAGGUCCCCCACACUGGUACUGAGACACGGACCAGACUCCUACGGGAGGCAGCAGUGAGGAAUAUUGGUCAAUGGGCGCGAGCCUGAACCAGCCAAGUCGCGUGAGGGAUGACGGCCCUACGGGUUGUAAACCUCUUUUGUCGGGGAGCAAAUUCCGCCACGCGUGGCGGGGUCGAGAGUACCCGAAGAAAAACAUCGGCUAACUCCGUGCCAGCAGCCGCGGUAAUAC